rnacentral:rRNA from 1 species
GUAAUACGUAGGUCGAGCGUUAUCGGAAUCUGGGCGUAUGCGUGCGCAGCGGUUUUGUAGACAGACGUGAAGCACCUGGCCUUACCUCGGAACAGCGUUGUAGACUGCAAGACUAGAGUAUGGCAGAGGGGGGUAGAAUUCCACGUGUAGCAGUGACAUGCGUAGAGAUGUGGAGGAAUACCGAUGGCGAAGGCAGCCCCCAUGGUCCAAUACUGACGCUCAUGCACGAAAGCGUGGGGAGCAACCAGGAUUAGAUACCCUGGUAGUCCACGCCCUAACGACUGUCAAGUAGGUGUUGGGAGAGGAGACUUCCUUAGUACCGCAGCUAACGCGUGAAGUUGACCGCCUGGGGAGUACGGCCGCAAGGUUAAAACUCAAAGGAAUUGACGGGGACCCGCACAAGCGGUGGAUUAUGUGGAUUAAUUCGAUGCAACGCGAAAAACCUUACCUACCCUUGACAUGCCAAGAAGAUUCCAGAGAUGGGAUUGUGCUCGAAAGAGAACUUGGACACAGGUGCUGCAUGGCUGUCGUCAGCUCGUGUCGUGAGAUGUUGGGUUAAGUCCCGCAACGAGCGCAACCCUUGUCAUUAAUUGCCAUCAUUUAGUUGGGCACUUUAAUGAGACUGCCGGUGAUAAACCGGAGGAAGGUGGGGAUGACGUCAAGUCCUCAUGGCCCUUAUGGGUAGGGCUUCACACGUAAUACAAUGGUCGGUACAGAGGGUUGCCAAGCCGCGGGGUGGAGCCAAUCCCAGAAAGCCGAUCGUAGUCCGGAUUGGAGUCUGCAACUCGAUUCCAUGAAGUCGGAAUCGCUAGUAAUCGCGGAUCAGCAUGUUUGCGGCGAGUACGUUCCCGGGUAAUGAACUCACCGCAUGUCUACAC